rnacentral:rRNA from 1 species
UACGAAGGGUGCUAGCGUUGUCCGGAUUUAUUGGGCGUAAAGCGCUCGCAGGUGGUCCGUUGCGUCGUGCGUGAAAGACCCCGGCUCAACUGGGGAGUGUCGUGCGAUACGGGCGGACUGGAGGCCAGUAGGGGGAUGCGGAAUUCCGGGUGUAGCAGUGAAAUGCGUAGAGAUGUGGAGGAAUACCGAUGGCGAAGGCAGCCCCCUGGGCCAAUACUGACGCUCAUGCACGAAAGCGUGGGGAGCAAACAGG